rnacentral:lncRNA from 1 species
CUUCCAUUGAGUUAGGUACUGUGCUGCUGGGCUCCUGGUAAUCUGUUAGCUUCUCAAUGAUUACUUCCAAUGUUUUAUUAUAUUUAAGAAAUGCUACAAGAUGAUAAUACUUCAGCUGGAUUGCAUUUCAUGGCCUCUGUAAAAAAGAAAGCUAUAGGAAGUCAAGAUGCAAGUACAAAUACAGACCCAGAACAUGAGCCUUUGACUGCUCCUCAGCUCUUGGUCCCAGAUGUCUAUCUAAAUCUGAAGCUUUCCAGUGAAAUGUCAGAGAAACCUUGGUCACCCUCAAUACCUCAUACAGUAACAAACUUGGAAUUACCUGUGAGAGAAGAGCCUUCAAAUGAUAAUGUUAUCAAACAGCAAAGCGAUCAUCUAGCAGUUCCAUCGUCUGCAGAGUUACAUUAUAUGGCAGCUUCAGUUACUAAUGCUGUUCCCCCACAUAAUUUUAAGAGUCAAGGU